rnacentral:rRNA from 1 species
UGGGGAAUUUUGGACAAUGGGCGCAAGCCUGAUCCAGCAAUGCCGCGUGCAGGAUGAAGGCCUUCGGGUUGUAAACUGCUUUUGUACGGAGCGAAAAGGUCUGCCCUAAUACGGUGGGCUCAUGACGGUACCGUAAGAAUAAGCACCGGCUAACUACGUGCCAGCAGCCGCGGUAAUACGUAGGGUGCGAGCGUUAAUCGGAAUUACUGGGCGUAAAGCGUACGCAGGCGGUUAUAUAAGACAGGUGUGAAAUCCCCGGGCUCAACCUGGGACCUGCAUUUGUGACUGUAUAGCUAGAGUACGGUAGAGGGGGAUGGAAUUCCGCGUGUAGCAGUGAAAUGCGUAGAUAUGCGGAGGAACACCGAUGGCGAAGGCAAUCCCCUGGACCUGUACUGACGCUCAUGCACGAAAGCGUGGGGAGCAAACA